rnacentral:sRNA from 1 species
GCGGAGGAAAAGAAACCAACAGGGAUUGCCCUAGUAACGGCGAGUGAAGCGGCAACAGCUCAAAUUUGAAAUCUGGCUCUAUUUUGGAGUCCGAGUUGUAAUUUGUAGAGGGCGCUUUGGCGUCGGCAGCGGUCUAAGUUCCUUGGAACAGGACGUCACAGAGGGUGAGAAUCCCGUAUGUGGUCGCGUGCCUUCGCCGUGUAAAGCCCCUUCGACGAGUCGAGUUGUUUGGGAAUGCAGCUCUAAAUGGGAGGUAAAUUUCUUCUAAAGCUAAAUACUGGCCAGAGACCGAUAGCGCACAAGUAGAGUGAUCGAAAGAUGAAAAGCACUUUGGAAAGAGAGUCAAAAAGCACGUGAAAUUGUUGAAAGGGAAGCGCUUGCAGCCAGACUUGCCUGCGGUUGCUCAUCCGGGCUCUCGCCCGGUGCACUCUUCCGUAGGCAGGCCAGCAUCAGUUUGGGCGGCUGGAUAAAGGCCUCUGUCAUGUACCUUCCCUCGGGAAGGCCUUAUAGGGGAGGCGUAAUGCAGCCAGCCUGGACUGAGGUCCGCGCAUUUGCUAGGAUGCUGGCGUAAUGGCUGUAAGCGGCCCGUCUUGAAACACGGACCAAGGAGUCUAACAUCUAUGCGAGUGUUUGGGUGUCAAGCCCGGGCGCGCAAUGAAAGUGAACGGAGGUGGGAACCCUUUGCGGGGUGCACCAUCGACCGAUCCUGAUGUCUUCGGAUGGAUUUGAGUAAGAGCAUAGCUGUUGGGACCCGAAAGAUGGUGAACUAUGCUUGAAUAGGGUGAAGCCAGAGGAAACUCUGGUGGAGGCUCGCAGCGGUUCUGACGUGCAAAUCGAUCGUCAAAUUUGGGCAUAGGGGCGAAAGACUAAUCGAACUAUCUAGUAGCUGGUUCU